GAUCACUAUGGAAAAUAAGCUCAUUAUAGUGCAGCAUGGGUGAGCAACUACAGGCGAAAAGGAAUUGAUUGAUCCAAAGCUUCAUAUUAGCAGCUGCUUUUGCAAGCCAAGAAGAGUGGGACGGCAUCCCCUGCACACAGGGACUGAGACUGAGAACAGAUCCAGGUUCACAGUCCACGCGUCUCCCUCCUUGAGGUACAAUCUGACACGCAGUCAGGAGGGAAGGCUGUUUAGAGCUCUAAUAGCACAGAAAUCCAUUUGCAACUGCUCUUUUCAUUCGCCCUCUACAAAUCAGUCAAGGACCCAAGCUCUUGAUGAGCAAAACUGGACUCUGGUAUUACUGCGAUUGCUCAGUAACAAGGCUGCAGAUGGAAAUAAUUCCCAAAGACUAAGAAACUUCAGAGCACCUGAGUAAAAAGACUGAUAAAGAAGAGAAAAAUGUCAAGAGAGCCUCAAAGUGGUUUGUGCUCAGCCGGUCUCCCUGGGCUGGUCGGUGGGGAGAGCUGGGGAUGCUCCACAAGUGUCUCGAGCCCCAUCCCCUGUUGCGCUGCCCUUGAUUUGCACGUUCUUCAGUGUGUGCAGCAGGAAAGUCACUGCAGGGCAAAGCAGAGAGCACCCAGAUGGCUCACAAAGGGUGUUAUCAACACCACAGGUCAUGUGGGGAAGUAGCAAGAGAGAAGGCUGUUGUGAGCAAGUUCUCCCAAAACUCAAUUUCUCUCAACAGAGAUGAGGAACAGAGAAAGGCUGCAGGGACAACAAGGUCAAGCAUCAUCAGAUUCCACUAAAAUUCUCACUAAUGGUUUUAUUUAAGAGUCCUUAGUCUACUGCUUUGGAAAGAGGAGCUAUUCGUGCUAACAGUUUUGGUGGAAAUCAGGACGAUUCUACCCAUCAGAGGAACAACAUCCUGAAAGCAUCUCCAAAUCAAAUAAAGAGGGACAAAACAGAAACACUAAUUAUUUUUUAGGAGGAAGCUUGAUACAUUCAAAUACAUAAAACAUUGUGGUUGUAACAGAAAAGAACCACGCAUAGCAACUCCUUUCUAAUCAAUUCCAAAUUGAGGAUAACUACGCUAGAGUGCAGAUGUGAAACUCUUUCCCAUCAAGAGGUCACAUAUUAAAAAGGCACACAGUGUAAUAUUCUUACGUAGACCUACAUUAGUCCAAAGCUUUGUCCCAAUUUCAGCGUGAUUGGCAGUACACAGCACACAAGCUAAUGCUUCCGGAGUUUACUGCACCUAUUGGGCUUUUGAAAACACUUGGUAAGGUCUUCAUCUACCAGGAGCACAAGUCUCUAAACAUUCUAACUCCUUCCCAGCAAAUUUUAAUUCUUUUAGGACAUGCAUUUAUUGCUGGUCUAUUCUACUCACUGAUACUGCAGCCAGGAGAAUAAGUAUUUGUACCUACCCAGCAACACUUUCUGUAAAGCAAAGCAUCUCAAACACUUUACAACUGUCAAUUAAGUCUUGUUAUGCAGAGAUAGUAUUUUUGUCAUUUUGUAGAUUGUGCCUUUUAAUUUCUUAGAGAGGUGGAAUAAUUUAGGAGAAUUUGCCUACUAUAGGAUUAACAUGGAGCUGUUGCAAUUGCUGCAUCCAGGAUCUCUGUGCACCUGACAAGGUUAAGCCUCAUAAACACACACAUGGUAUUUGUUUACUAUUUUGUAAGUGUCUCUUUCUACUCCAGAGUAAUAUUCCACACACAAGACAUCUUCAUGAGAAACAUUCUAGUGUAACUGAUAAAAACCAAAGGAGAUGAGAUCCAAAAUGCAGGUUCCAGGAGGCAAGAAAAGCAGUAGCUGAGAUUAAUUCCUUAAGUCAGAAAAGUGCAGCGAUUAUAUUCAAAUACGAUGAAUGCCAUAAUUAUGACUUCAGAGAUAAGCGGAAAUAUUUUGAGAAGCAGUAAUUCAACUAAAGCCAUAUUUAAAACAAAGAGUGCUAGACUUUACCUACUAUAAAACAGUCUUAAGGGAUUAACAAUACUUGUAUUUUUAAUUGUUUAUGUCUAACACACUCUUGGCUACAACAAGUGAAGAAACGUCAAGGAAUUUACAAGAGAUCACAGAGAGAAAGGUACAAAGUGCAGGCACAACCAGUGAUGUUUUGCAAUUGAGAGGACAGUUUGCAUUACAGAAAUAAAAAUGAGGCACCAGCAGAAAGCAGAGAGUGCCUGGGUGUUAGAAGCAAAGACAAAAGCACAAUGUUAUACAACUACAACAACAAAACCACCCAAACGUACAGCCCACACAAAACCCUGAGGAUCCUAAUUAGAGAGAACGGGGCUGACCCAGAGUCCUGUUUUCUUUCAUAUAUUCAGCCAACAAACUGCAGAGAAUUCCAGCAGUUAGAAUUGACAGCGACAUUUUAAGUCAAUGAGAAUCUAUUCUACUCUUCCUCCCACAACACAAAUGAAUAGUAGUGUUAAUGAAAUUCCACUCCUAUUAUAAAUUGACAAACACAUUCCUUCAUUUAUCCCUUCCAGCAAAAUGUGCCUUUUAACAAACUUGAACUGUUCUGAAAUACCCUUCGGCCACAAUAUAACAAAACAAAAUGCCGCUCUCUCCUGCACUGCCCUUUUUCCAAUUAACUUGACUUUAGUGGACCAAGAUAGAUUUUUUUCUUCUAUUGUAUUUCACACCCACGGUUUUGGAUUAAUCAUAUUAAAAUUUACAAAUUUAGUCACAGACUUCAAUACAGUCUGGAUAUUUAUUUGAUCAAGUGUUUCUGACUGAGGAUGAGCUUCUAAUUCAUCACACUCAAACAACUUGCUUUUAAAAACCCACUGGUUUCCAGCGCUGUCUUCUCCAAAAUGUCAAGUAAUUACAUUAUAUGCAGAAAUAAAAAUAAUUGAUUGGCUUU